AGAGUAACGACCCUAACCCAAAUUUGAAUAUGGGUUCUUUGUGCGCAGAGAGAGAGAGAGAGAGAGAGAGAUUGCUGGACAUAAAAGUAGCAGCGAAAACAGAAGUUUGUAACCAAAGAAACAAAGAAGGGGAAAAGAAAAGAUGAAAGAUUCCUCAGGUGAAGGCAAUCUAAGAAAGAGAGAGUCUGAAGGAUGAGAUGGGGGAGGGGAAUUAGGAUGGGGGAUGGAGGAUGAGAUGGCAUGGGUUUGUUUUUGAAUUUUGUUUGGUUAAUUUUUCUAGAUUUUUUAAUUAUUAUUUUAUAUAUUUUGAUUUAAAAUCUUUUAAUUAAGUUUUAAUUCCAUGUGAUAUCCACCUCACCCACUUAAUUAGUUUAAUAAUUCAUGUGUAUGAAAUUACAAAAAUAUUCCUGCCACGUUAUUAAAUUUAGUAAAAUUUUGGAUGGAGUUGACAACAGGGGUAAAGUGAGUCAUCAAACCUUUGUCAAGGGAUGAAAGUGGACCACCUUAACUUUGUGCCUGUAAAAUGAGAUUUGACCGAUGUUUUAAGGAGCACUACAAUAAAUAAGCUUAAAAAGAAAAUUGAAUAGGUUAAAAACCAAAAGGAGAAAAAAAAAAUAAAAACAAAAAACUAUAGGUUAAAACCAAAAAAUAAGCAUACCUACGAAAACAACCCCUACAUGUGAUUUUCCCAAUUUAGUCUUGUCUGCUGUCGCCUAAAACAUGAAAAAAGAAGGCUUUCCUAAUUAUUGACUCAUCAAAAUCAGUCUUGUAACUAAUAAGUUUAUCGGAGAUUCUCGGAAACAAUUAGCAGCGAGAGAAUCAAACUGCCUGUCCCUUCUAAAGAAUCAAAGAAGCAGAGAUGAGGAGAGGGCAUUCUUCUGGGAAUUACAGAAACCCAUGUUUGACUAUGCACCAGCCAUGGGCUUCUUUGCUGGUUUAUGGUAUCAAGCGCAUCGAAGGCCGGACAUGGGCCGCUCCUAUUAGAGGGCGCCUUUGGAUUCAUGCCGCUAGUAAGGUUCCUGAUGAGGCUACAAUCAAAGCAAUGGAGGACUUCUACAGGGAAAUUUAUGCAGUGGAUGGAAUCGCUGAUCUUAAAUUUCCAGAGUAUUAUCCAGUUUCAAGACUUUUAGGGUGUGUUGAAGUGGUUGGAUGUGUUAGACGUGAAGAACUAGCAUGCUGGGAGAUGGUACCUGAAGGGGUGAGGCUGGAAGCACAAACUGAUUUAUGUUGGCUUUGCGAGCAGCCACAGAAAUUGUUAAUUCCGUUUGAGAUGCGUGGGUACCAAGGUGUUUAUAACUUGGAAAAGAAGAUAUAUGAAGCUGCUAUUAGAGGUCUUACCCCGGUUGAAGGUCCCCUUCCAGUAAAAUUUUUACUUCCAAAUCCACAAGAUCCAUUUUCGUUGAAACCAGGGUCUAUCUCUGCAAAUGUCCCAGAAACUAGAACUUCUGAACUGGAGAGAUCUUCAAGUCUCACAGCGGCCAUAGCUGGUGCACGAGCAGCAGCUACACAGUUCUCCAAGAAAGUUCAAGAUCUUGAAACAACUCCCCAAACUAAUACAGCACAAUCUGUAAGGACACUUCCAUUAAAGAGUGAAUCUUUUGAAGAGGAUACAACGCCAUCUGCUAACUUAAGUGAGACCUCUAAUAAGGGGGCAUUAACAUCAAAUAACAAGGAGAAAAUAAGUCCCAUUAAGUAUGAGGAAAUCACCCGCCCCAGUCAACCUUCUUCUGGAGGUUUGAGACCUCAUCCUGGUGCACCUUCUAAGGGCAGCAUUUCACCUAGAGGGGAGCACAUGAAGCGGAAGAGAGACCGUCCGCAUGAGUAAUGCAAACAUUGGUGAGGAUCCAAUGCCCGAAAGCCCUCUUGGUUGAAAACAAAAGGCUCCUCAAAGUGGAAAAUAGGCCUUUUCAUCUGAUAUUUGUCAGCUGUGGGUUUAUUAAGCGUUGGCUAGCUCUAGUCACCUAAUUUGGAUCCUAUUUGAUGUAACCUAAUAUUGAUGGUCAGGAUACAAUAAUAAACCUGAUUUUUGCUGCGGCGGUGAGAGCACUGAAGCCGUCAUGAGAUUCAUAUAUUCUUGGAAGGUGGAACUCUGUUGCAAAAUAUGACCCUUUCGUUUGCAGCACCAAGCUGUUAUGUCAAAUUGGAAUGCUUUUCUACACGGCCUGCAUUUUAUUGUAUAUGUAAUAUGUAUACUGGGUAGAUCUUGAUGUUAGUUUAGGGGGAUGGAUGAGGUAGGUAACUGCAUGAUUGUCAAAUUUGAAGUAAAUGCAAUAUGUUCUUUUUUCUUCUUCUUGUGUUUGUGUUUUCCAAGUAUUAUUUAUAUCGAUUGGAGUGGGUGGAUAUUAAUUGAAUUGAAA